GACGACGCUGGCGGCGUGCCUAACACAUGCAAGUCGAACGGGGCUCUUUGGAUCGAGACUUCGGUCAAGUGAAUCUGAGCUUAGUGGCGGACGGGUGAGUAACGCGUGAGCAACCUGCCUUUCAGAGGGGGACAACAGUUGGAAACGACUGCUAAUACCGCAUAAUGUGUUUUGGGGGCAUCCCCGAAAUACCAAAGAUUUAUCGCUGAAAGAUGGGCUCGCGUCUGAUUAGCUAGUUGGUGGGGUAACGGCCUACCAAGGCGACGAUCAGUAGCCGGAACUGAGAGGUUGAACGGCCACAUUGGGACUGAGAUACGGCCCAG
rnacentral:rRNA from 1 species